AUCAUCACCAUCACAUUGGAGAUCAAGCGGAGCAAAGCGGAGCCUAUGAUUUUAUCAUGAGGGGCAAAUUUUUGUUCAGCAUCUGCCGUUUUUAGUACCCUGGAUGAUACGAAAUCUUCCUGAGUUCUGCCUCAAGUCACAGAAUAUCGUUACAAGACUCAUGACUGACCCACCUUGGAGCAAUUGAUAGGUAGUCCCUGUGCUGAACAGAGGGAGCAUCCACCUCCGGCCCCGCCUCCAGCUAGUUCAUCAAGGAGUGACAAGCCAUUUUGACCUGGUUCUGGCCGAAUCGAACGAACCCACCAGCAACCUUCGCACCAAAUGAUCUAUAGGCGCUACGCUCGAUGAGAACAAGAUGCGGCGAGCUCAAUGCUGCUAGCCCACUAGCCGCAGCCUAUCGUUGGCGUGUGGAUCCAGAACUGAGAACCACGGCCCCUCAUUCCUACCUUUUCCUUUGCUUCUAUGCCCCUUUUUCAUGAAAAUCAUAGAAGAAAGCAUAGGGGAGAGUGGUGUGGAGACAUGAAAAAAGGGAGAAAGAGUCAAUGAAAACAAUUACAACUGGUUCUGAAAAGGACCUACUUUUGAUAUUACUGCAAGACGAAAACGGGGACAACGAAAUUUUUUGGCUCAGGCCGCAUUCGGCGAUGAGAUUAGACUUGGACGAGGCCGCCGCACCAUUUUUUCCCCCUUUCUUCUGACUCUUCAGGUUUCUCGCCCGUUAACAAGCCUGAGCCCUAACAGCAAACACGACACCCCCUACACGGAUGGGGCCACAAAACACAUGCAUAUGCAGGAGUGUAUUGAUUUUCGAAAUGCGACUGCUACCCAACGUUUGACGACAUCUUUGUGGAAGACCUCUUGGAAGUGACAGCGACACCCAUGAAUGUGUCGCUUAAGCGCUUUCAAUUCUUGAUCACCCUGUUCCAGUCACCCAACAUGAUCGGCUGGAUAUGAGGACGAAAAGGAUACAUUCUCAAAGUGCCAAUAGGAAGAUGUUCUGCAAUUGAACACGUCGCUCGAAAAGCCCCACAAUUGAUAAAAUACCCCGCUGUACAUCAUUUACGGGCAGCUGCCCAACGUUUGGGUACAAGGACAACUGACGCCAACUGUUAACCCCCCAAACCAAUGAUUGAGAUGCAAUUAUUAUAUUCCACAUUACAACGACGUUGUUUUAAGAGAUAAUACGGCGAUAACUUCCCACACUAAAAUAAUACGCUGCGUAAGCGCAAUCUUACAGUUAGGACAUGAUGUCAUUGCUUCUCAUUCGGGGGUCACGUGCACAAAAAAGGAUCAAUCCUUAAGACGGGGCCAACCCAUCUUAACAUGUUUAACAAAAGGUUUUUAGAAGGUUUACCCAUUUGCCACGGACCGACGUUCUCCUGCCCCUGAACUCCCCUAGCUUAGCCGUCUGGGGUAGGGUGCGUAACCCUACGGGUGCUUAGCGACAAAAAGGUCGUGUAUCCUUUUGUAUCAGCUUUUUUGAUGUCGAAUUCGGUGCUAGCUCACGUUAUUUUAUUUUAGAUCGAGGACACGCUUGUGCCACAUUUACAUAAAAAAUUCUUUGUCGGCGAGAUAUCUGUCGGAGUCAUACCCUUCCCUGUUUGUGCGGUAGAAAUUAA
rnacentral:sRNA from 2 species